rnacentral:rRNA from 1 species
AUUGAACGCUGGCGGCAUGCCUUACACAUGCAAGUCGAACGGUAACGGGCCUUCGGGUGCCGACGAGUGGCGAACGGGUGAGUAAUACAUCGGAACGUGCCCGAUCGUGGGGGAUAACGAGGCGAAAGCUUUGCUAAUACCGCAUACGAUCUACGGAUGAAAGCAGGGGACCGCAAGGCCUUGCGCGGACGGAGCGGCCGAUGGCAGAUUAGGUAGUUGGUGGGAUAAAAGCUUACCAAGCCGACGAUCUGUAGCUGGUCUGAGAGGAUGAUCAGCCACACUGGGACUGAGACACGGCCCAGACUCCUACGGGAGGAAGCAGUGGGGAAUUUUGGACAAUGGGGGCAAGCCUGAUCCAGCCAUGCCGCGUGCAGGAUGAAGGCCUUCGGGUUGUAAACUGCUUUUGUACGGAACGAAAAGCCUUCUUUUAAUACAGGAGGGUCAUGACGGUACCGUAAGAAUAAGCACCGGCUAACUACGUG